rnacentral:rRNA from 1 species
UAACGGCGAGUGAAGCGGCAACAGCUCAAAUUUGAAAUCUGGCCCCAGGCCCGAGUUGUAAUUUGCAGAGGAUGCUUUUGGUGAGGUGCCUUCCGAGUUCCCUGGAACGGGACGCCAUAGAGGGUGAGAGCCCCGUCUGGUCGGACACCGAGCCUCUGUAAAGCUCCUUCGACGAGUCGAGUAGUUUGGGAAUGCUGCUCAAAAUGGGAGGUAUAUGUCUUCUAAAGCUAAAUACCGGCCAGAGACCGAUAGCGCACAAGUAGAGUGAUCGAAAGAUGAAAAGCACUUUGAAAAGAGAGUUAAAUAGCACGUGAAAUUGUUGAAAGGGAAGCGUUUAUGACCAGACUUGGCCCGGUUGAUCAUCCAGCGUUCUCGCUGGUGCACUCUGCCGGUCCAGGCCAGCAUCAGUUCGUCGCGGGGGAUAAAGGUUUCGGGAAUGUGGCUCCUCCGGGAGUGUUAUAGCCCGUUGCGUAAUACCCUGCGGUGGACUGAGGUCCGCGCUUCUGCAAGGAUGCUGGCGUAAUGGUCAUCAACGACCCGUCUUGAAACACGGACCAAGGAGUCGUCUUCGUAUGCGAGUGUUCGGGUGUAAAACCCCUACGCGUAAUGAAAGUGAACGCAGGUGAGAGCUUCGGCGCAUCAUCGACCGAUCCUGAUGUUCUCGGAUGGAUUUGAGUAAGAGCAUACGGGGCCGGACCCGAAAGAAGGUGAACUAUGCCUGUAUAGGGUGAAGCCAGAGGAAACUCUGGUGGAGGCUCGCAGCGGUUCUGACGUGCAAAUCGAUCGUCAAAUAUGGGCAUGGGGGCGAAAGA